rnacentral:misc_RNA from 1 species
UGUCAUAGAAUUUGUGAAGUCUCCCCCACCAUGACGACGAGCUCCUCCGCCCCUUCCCGCAAGGCCCUGAGCAAAAUCGCCGCCAAUCGGCUUCAAAAGGAGCUCGCCGAGUGGCAGCACAACCCCCCGGCCGGAUUCAAGCACCGCGUCACCGACAACCUCCAGAGGUGGGUAAUUGAGCUCGCCGGGGCGCCGGGGACGCUGUACGCCGGCGAGGCGUUUCAGCUGCAGGUGGAUUUCCCGGAACACUAUCCGAUGGAGGCUCCGCAGGUUAUUUUUCUGGCUCCGGCGCCGGUGCAUCCGCAUAUUUACAGCAACGGCCAUAUAUGUUUAGAUAUACUCUACGAUUCAUGGUCUCCUGCAAUGACUGUAGGUUCAGUCUGUAUCAGUAUCCUAUCUAUGUUAUCAAGCUCAAACACAAAGGAACGUCCUCCCGAUAAUGAUCGAUACGUGAAGAAUUGCAGGAAUGGUAGGUCUCCGAAGGAGACGAGAUGGUGGUUCCAUGAUGACAAGGUGUAAUAACUUUCAGUCGAAUAAUGUCGGUACUCUCGAGAAACAAUUUGAUCUAAUCAAAUAGUCGGGAUGCACUGCUGUUGAUUUGUGUUGUGACAUUUUGUAAAGGGAA